CGGAGCUUGCUCCAUCGGAAAAAGAGGAGUGGCGAACGGGUGAGUAACACGUGGGUAACCUGCCCAUCAGAAGGGGAUAACACUUGGAAACAGGUGCUAAUACCGUAUAACAAUCGAAACCGCAUGGUUUUGAUUUGAAAGGCGCUUUCGGGUGUCGCUGAUGGAUGGACCCGCGGUGCAUUAGCUAGUUGGUGAGGUAACGGCUCACCAAGGCGACGAUGCAUAGCCGACCUGAGAGGGUGAUCGGCCACAUUGGGACUGAGACACGGCCCAAACUCCUACGGGAGGCAGCAGUAGGGAAUCUUCGGCAAUGGACGAAAGUCUGACCGAGCAACGCCGCGUGAGUGAAGAAGGUUUUCGGAUCGUAAAACUCUGUUGUUAGAGAAGAACAAGGAUGAGAGUAACUGUUCAUCCCUUGACGGUAUCUAACCAGAAAGCCACGGCUAACUACGUGCCAGCAGCCGCGGUAAUACGUAGGUGGCAAGCGUUGUCCGGAUUUAUUGGGCGUAAAGCGAGCGCAGGCGGUUUCUUAAGUCUGAUGUGAAAGCCCCCGGCUCAACCGGGGAGGGUCAUUGGAAACUGGGAGACUUGAGUGCAGAAGAGGAGAGUGGAAUUCCAUGUGUAGCGGUGAAAUGCGUAGAUAUAUGGAGGAACACCAGUGGCGAAGGCGGCUCUCUGGUCUGUAACUGACGCUGAGGCUCGAAAGCGUGGGGAGCAAACAGGAUUAGAUACCCUGGUAGUCCACGCCGUAAACGAUGAAAGCUAAGUGUUGGAGGGUUUUCCGCCCCUUCAGUGUUGCAGCUAACGCAAUUAAGCACUCCGCCUGGGGAGUCCGACCGCAAGGUUGAAACUCAAAGGAAUUGACGGGGGCCCGCACAAGCGGUGGAGCAUGUGGUUUAAUUCGAAAGCAACGCGAAGAACCUUACCAGGUCUUGACAUCCUUUGACCACUCUAGAGAUAGAGCUUCCCCUUCGGGGGCAAAGUGACAGGUGGUGCAUGGUUGUCGUCAGCUCGUGUCGUGAGAUGUUGGGUUAAGUCCCGCAACGAGCGCAACCCUUAUUGUUAGUUGCCAUCAUUUAGUUGGGCACUCUAGCAAGACUGCCGGUGACAAACCGGAGGAAGGUGGGGAUGACGUCAAAUCAUCAUGCCCCUUAUGACCUGGGCUACACACGUGCUACAAUGGGAAGUACAACGAGUCGCAAAGUCGCGAGGCUAAGCUAAUCUCUUAAAGCUUCUCUCAGUUCGGAUUGUAGGCUGCAACUCGCCUACAUGAAGCCGGAAUCGCUAGUAAUCGCGGAUCAGCACGCCGCGGUGAAUACGUUCCCGGGCCUUGCACUCACCGCCCGUCA
rnacentral:rRNA from 1 species